rnacentral:rRNA from 1 species
GAAUCCCAAGGCGCUUGAGAGAACUCGGGUGAAGGAACUAGGCAACAUAGCACCGUAACUUCGGGAGAAGGUGCGCCAGUAUCGUGGUGAUAUGCAUCAUUGAGCGAUAUUGGGCCGCAGUGACCAGGCCGCUGCGACUGUUUAUCAAAAACACAGCACUCUGCAAACACGUAAGUGGACGUAUAGGGUGUGACGCCUGCCCGGUGCCGGAAGGUUAAUUGAUGGGGUCAGCGCAAGCGAAGCUCUUGAUCGAAGCCCCGGUAAACGGCGGCCGUAACGAUAACGGUCCUAAGGUAGCGAAAUUCCUUGUCGGGUAAGUUCCGACCUGCACGAAUGGCGUAACGACAGCGGCGCUGUCUCCACCCGAGACUCAGUGAAAUUGAAAUCGCUGUGAAGAUGCAGCGUUCCCGCGGC